CUUUACUGUAGCUUGGAAUUGGGUUUCGGUUUUAUCUGCGCAGAAUAGGUGGGAGGCAAAGAAACUGUGCUCGUGGGCAUAGCAGAGCCAACAGUGAGAUACCACUCUGUUAAAACUAAAAUUCUAACCUUGAUAGCCUUUAGCAGGCCAAGGAACAGUUUCUGGUGGGCAGUUUGACUGGGGCGGUCACCUCCUAAAGAGUAACGGAGGUGUACAAAGGUUUCCUCAGACUGGUCAGAAAUCAGUCGUAGAGUGUAAAGGUAUAAGGAAGCUUGACUGUGAGACCUACAAGUCGAGCAGAGACGAAAGUCGGUCUUAGUGAUCCGGCAGUACUGAGUGGAAAGGCUGUCGCUCAACGGAUAAAAGUUA
rnacentral:rRNA from 1 species